rnacentral:rRNA from 1 species
GAUGAACGCUGGCGGCGUGCCUAAUACAUGCAAGUCGAGCGAACAGACGAGGAGCUUGCUCCUCUGACGUUAGCGGCGGACGGGUGAGUAACACGUGGAUAACCUACCUAUAAGACUGGGAUAACUUCGGGAAACCGGAGCUAAUACCGGAUAAUAUAUUGAACUGCAUGGUUCAAUAGUGAAAGACGGUUUUGCUGUCACUUAUAGAUGGAUCCGCGCCGCAGUAGCUAGUUGGUAAGGUAACGGCUUACCAAGGCGACGAUGCGUAGCCGACCUGAGAGGGUGAUCGGCCACACUGGAACUGAGACACGGUCCAGACUCCUACGGGAGGCAGCAGUAGGGAAUCUUCCGCAAUGGGCGAAAGCCUGACGGAGCAACGCCGCGUGAGUGAUGAAGGUCUUCGGAUCGUAAAACUCUGUUAUUAGGGAAGAACAAAUGUGUAAGUAACUAUGCACGUCUUGACGGUACCUAAUCAGAAAGCCACGGCUAACUACGUG